rnacentral:lncRNA from 1 species
CAUGGUUGUACGGUAGACGUUUUCAAGCUUCAUUGGUAGAUAUGACUACGCACAUGACUACGCACAACGACAAACAAAAAACACUUAUUACAUCAACUUUAUAUGGGCUCUUCCUUUCUAUUUAUGUUUUACCCAGUCUCGUUUUUUUUUUUUUUGAACGGCACCCAGUCUCGUUUUAUCUUUAUUGAUUUUUGCGCUAUUUAUAGAUAUUUUUCUUAUAUGCUCUCCAUCUCUCGCACAAAAGCAGACACAUGUACCUAUAAAUGUUGUUUAUCAAAUUUUGUUUUUUUUAGUUAUUUCACUAAUUCUCCUUAAAAUCUAAUACUAUAACCAAGGUUCAAAAUUACGCUAGGCAUAACACGUAUAGACAGGAAAAACCUAGAACAUAAUGGAUAAAUCGAAGAUUAUACGGAAAGUAAUCGGGGAGGAAUUUUGAAGCUUUUAUAUAAUUUUGAAGAUUUUUAUAUUAAAUAUGUACAAGAAUAACGAUGGUGGCCUUUGGUCUAGUAGUCGGUAUCAUUUGCAUAUAUUACGAGGUGAAGGUUCGAAAGCACAAAGUUAAUUUUUAACCAUUUUUCAGUUUUAGGCUAAUGAAAGUGACAAUUACCAAACUGUCCUCGUCCCUGACCUAUCACUUAGGAGUUUACAACGGCUGUUCAUUCUUUUUUUCUCAUAAUUUCUUCACUUUUUCUUACAAAUCUUGUUCCUUUUAAUCAAAAUAUUGAU